rnacentral:rRNA from 1 species
ACGAACGCUGGCGGCGUGCUUAACGCAUGCAAGUCGAACGGAAAGGCCCUGCUUGCAGGGUACUCGAGUGGCGAACGGGUGAGUAACACGUGGGUGAUCUGCCCUGCACUUCGGGAUAAGCCUGGGAAACUGGGUCUAAUACCGGAUAGGAGCCAUUUUUAGUGUGAUGGUUGGAAAGUUUUUUCGGUGUAGGAUGAGCUCGCGGCCUAUCAGCUUGUUGGUGGGGUAAUGGCCUACCAAGGCGGCGACGGGUAGCCGGCCUGAGAGGGUGGACGGCCACAUUGGGACUGAGAUACGGCCCAGACUCCUACGGGAGGCAGCAGUGGGGAAUAUUGCACAAUGGGCGCAAGCCUGAUGCAGCGACGCCGCGUGGGGGAUGACGGCCUUCGGGUUGUAAACUCCUUUCGCUAGGGACGAAGCUUUUUGUGACGGUACCUAGAUAAGAAGCACCGGCUAACUACGUG